AUGCAGUCGAACGCUUCUUUUCCCACCGGAGCUUGCUCCACCGGGAAAAGAGGAGUGGCGAACGGGUGAGUAACACGUGGGUAACCUGCCCAUCAGAAGGGGAUAACACUUGGAAACAGGUGCUAAUACCGUAUAACAAUCGAAACCGCAUGGUUUCGUUUUGAAAGGCGCUUUACGGUGCCGCUGAUGGAUGGACCCGCGGUGCAUUAGCUAGUUGGUGAGGUAACGGCUCACCAAGGCCACGAUGCAUAGCCGACCUGAGAGGGUGAUCGGCCACAUUGGGACUGAGACACGGCCCAAACUCCUACGGGAGGCAGCAGUAGGGAAUCUUCGGCAAU
rnacentral:rRNA from 1 species